ACAAAGACUGGAAAGUGAGGGGAAGGUGGGAUGAUCAGGAGUAACCCCUUCCUUCAUGUCACCCACAUCCUUCCUCAGCAUGACAGACUCCCCUGAAUCCCACUGUCUGCUCCUGCUUCAGCCUUCCAUCUCUCUGGGACAUCCUACCAAAUGCCAACCCAUCAAAUGUCUUCAUUUUCCUGCCUCCCCUCCAGCUCCUGAACUUGGGUCUAAUACCUUUGCGAUCCUUCAGGUAGUCAGGAUCCACAAGCACCACGCCAUCUAGGAAAGGGAAACAUGAGUUCAUUUUCUGAAGGGGGCCUUUCCCCAUUCCCAGAUGCAGGAACCUCCUCCCCGCCUGGGGGAUGAGCUGUCUCCCUUCUCGGCCAACUUACCCACAGGAUCCACUUUGUCCAGGGGUCUUACUACGUAACCCUGGCCGUCCUAGAACUUGAUAUGUAGAGCAGGAUGCCCCCAGCUCUGAGCUCCAUCUGCCUCUGCCUUCUCGAUGCUGGGAUGAAAGGCCAUGAACCACCACACUCAGUCAAACUAGCUACUUUUCCACUGACCGCUUGCUUCAAGGACCCCUGGGGUGACUCCUGGAGUAAGCCUUGACUUUGCCCCUCAGACCGUUUUUACUGAAGGCACUGCUCACAUCUGACUAUUUCAUGAACCUCCAACACCCCCAUCUCUGACCUCAGCAGCUUAAAAAAAAAAUCCAUUUGUCGUUCAAGGCUUAACUCAGACAUCCUCUCCUUCAUUGAAGACUCAGCCUCGACUUUGAUCACUCCCCCCCUUCAUUUUGGUUCCUUUCAUUCACAUCUUGUUUAUAUUUUACUUGUGAUUUCAUCAAGGGCAGCAGCUCUUAGACCGCGGCCCUCAGGACCUUGUACACUGAGGCGUCCCAACACAGCAGCAGCCACGUAACAAAGACGAUGCCGGCUACCGUUUACUGGGUGGCUGCUCUGUUCCUAGCAGUGUUCCAAUUGCAUUGCUACUGCGCUUACAGCCCAACGACCGAAGUCGAGAUAUUGCUGUUCUACAGCGAAGAAACCAAAGUAUAGCGAGGUCGAGAAUUUUGUCAACGGUCACAGAGAACGUACAUGGUGGAACUCGGACAUAAACUUAGGGCAGACAACUCUGGCUUUAAGUCUCUGCUCUCAACCAUUAAAUUGCUUUCUUUUUUC